rnacentral:lncRNA from 1 species
UGCAAGUGGCGAAAUUCCGGUAGUCUGAGAGAUGCAGAAGGCGGAAGCACAACCAAAACGUCACUGAUAGCACUCGAAACCUGCAUUUUCAGAAUUGUAGCUUUCGCGCCCAAACGAAUAGGGCUGUAAUAUGUAGCAGAGAAGAAGCGAAGGCCAAGGAACAAGCAACGGUUUUGUUAGCUGGUCGUUAAAGCAGUUUGCUCGUGAUAACACCAAUUGAUUGAAUAAAUACAAAAUACAUGAGGAUUUUCAAAAUUCACCCAGGAACAAAAUAAUCUGGUCGGUUUCAAAGCCGUUUCAGAAAUUUGUAGCGAGAUACACAUGGAAGUAUUGGGAAAGCAGGAAUAAUAAGAGAGAAAAUCCCUAAAUAUGGGGUAACUAUUGAGUCCCGAAAUUGUUGCAGAAAAUAGAACAUGGAAAAGGUGUAUGAAGGUGAGGGAGGAUGAAGAAUGAUGUGAAAGUGAUUACCUUAGAUGGUGUGAUGGAAUUUGGAAAUUGGGUGUUGGAUGUGGAAAUUGUUGGGUUGGAGAAGAUGGAAGAGGAACACCGCCGAAAUUUUGAGAUGGG